ensembl:lncRNA
UUAGUCCUUAAAACAGAUAAAGUAAUUAUUGUAGGUGACUUUAAUAUUCAUGUGGAUGUUGAUAGUGACAGCCUUAAUAAUGCAUUUAUCUCAAUAUUAGAUUCAAUUGGGUUCAGUCAAAAUGUACAUGAACCAACUCACUGUUUAAACCACACUCUGGACCUUGUUCUGGGAUAUGGUGUUGAAAUUGAAAGUUUAUCAGUGUGUCCACAUAAUCCUCUUUUAUCAGACCAUUUUUUAAUAACUUUUGAAGUUCUGUUACUGGACUACAAGCCAGUAGGCAAAAUAUCCUACGCUCGAUGUUUAUCUGAAAGUGCUGUGACUAAAUUUAAGGAAGUGAUUCCAUCAGCACUUGAUUCAAUACCAGGACUCAAUAUCAAUAUAACAGAGGACUCCAAUGCUAACUUUAGUCCCUCCCAAAUUAAUCAUCUUGUUGAUAGCGCUGCAGCCUCACUGCGAAUAACACUCGACUCUGUCGCUCCUCUUAAGAAGAAGAUCAUAAAACAGAAAAAGAAAGCUCCAUGGCUUAAUUUACAAAUCCGCAAACUAAAACAAAAGUCGAGAAAUCUUGAAAGUAAAUGGCGUUCCACUAAAUUGGAAGAAUCUCGUUUAGUCUGGUUAGAUCAUCUUAAAACGUAUAAGAAGGCUCUCCGUAAUGCCAGAGCAGCUUAUUACUCUUCCUUAAUAGAAGAAAAUAAGAACAACCCCAGGUUUCUUUUCAGCACUGUAGCCAGGCUGACAGAGAGCCACAGCUCUACAGAGCCUUCUGUUCCUAUAUCUCUCAGUAGUGACGACUUUAUGAGUUUCUUUAACGAUAAAAUUAUAAUUAUUAGAGACAAAAUUAAUCUCCUCCUGACCUCAAUUGGUAAUGACUUAACUUCAACUGUUGGAAUUUUAAAAACAUCUGUAACUCCUGAAAUAUAUCUAGACUGUUUUACUCCAAUCAACCUUAACCAACUAACUUCAACAAUCUCAUCGUCUAAACCAUCAACCUGUCUUUUAGACCCGAUUCCAACUAAACUGUUUAAAGAAGUUUUACCCUUAAUUAACACUUCGUUAUUAAAUAUGAUCAACCUGUCUCUAUUAUCUGGCUACGUACCAAAAUCCUUUAAAGUAGCUGUAAUAAAACCACUUCUUAAAAAGCCUGGUCUUGAUCCAGAGGUUUUAGCCAACUAUAGGCCGAUAUCUAACCUUCCCUUUCUCGCUAAAAUCCUUGAGAAAGCAGUCGCAAAACAGUUGUGUGACUUUUUACAUAAUAAUAGUUUAUUUGAGGUUUUUCAAUCUGGAUUUAGAGUUCACAGAGACGGCACUGGUGAAAGUUACCAAUGA